CCUACGGGGGGCAGCAGUGGGGGAUAUUACACAAUGGGGGGAACCCUGAUGCAGCGACGCCGCGUGGGUGAAGAAGCGCCUCGGCGCGUAAAGCCCUGUCAGCAGGGAAGAAAAUGACGGUACCUGAAGAAGAAGCCCCGGCUAACUACGUGCCAGCAGCCGCGGUAAUACGUAGGGGGCAAGCGUUGUCCGGAAUUACUGGGUGUAAAGGGAGCGUAGGCGGGAAAGCAAGUUGAAUGUUUAAGGUACGGGCUCAACCUGUACAAGCGUUCAAAACUGUUUUUCUUGAGUGGAGUAGAGGUAAGCGGAAUUCCUAGUGUAGCGGUGAAAUGCGUAAAUAUUAGGAGGAACACCAGUGGCGAAGGCGGCUUACUGGGCUUUAACUGACGCUGAGGCUCGAAAGCGUGGGUAGCAAACAGGAUUAGAUACCCCAGUAGUC
rnacentral:rRNA from 1 species